CCUUGAUGCAAAAUUCUCAGCAAAAUUCCGGGAAACUAAAUUCACCAGUGUGUUAAAAAGAUUCUACACCUUGAUGAAAUGGAGUUUGUUCCUGAAAUGCAAGGAUGGUUCGGUCUCAAAAUCAAUCAGGGUGAGACAUCACACCAACAAAGGGGGAAAAGCCCACAGGAUCAUCUCAACUGAUGCAGAAAAAGCAUUUGAUAAAAUUCAACAUGUUUUCAUAAUAAAAGUCCUCCAUGGGGGGCACCUGGGUGGUUUAGUAAGUUAAGCGUCUGGUUCUUGAUUUCAGCCCAGGCCAUGAUCUCACAGUUGGUAAGUAUGAGCCCCAAGUCUGGCUCUGUGCUGGCAGGGCACAGCCUGCUUGGGAUUCUCUCUCUGCCUUCUCUCUUAGCACCUCCUCCACUUGCAUGCCCACUCCCUGUCUCAAAAUUCAAGAAAUUAGAAAUAGAAACUUUUUCAGCAUAGUAAAUGCCACAGAUGAAAAGCCCAAAGCAAACAUACUUAAUGGUGAAAAGAUUAAAAAAUAUAUAUAUCACAAACACAUGCACAAAACCCAAAACAACUUUUCCCCUGAGAUCAGAAAGGAGAAAGAUGCCACUGCCACUUUCACCACUUCUACUCAACACAGUAUUGGAAGUUCUAGCAGGAGCAACCAGACAUACCUGCGUAAACAAGCAAAGAGCAUCCAAAUUAGGAAGAAGUAAAAUUAUCUCUGUUCAUACAUAACAAGAUGUUAUAUAAAAUCAAAAAGACUUAGGAACUCUAAAGAUUCCACAAAAUACUACCAGAACUAGUAAAUUCAAAGUUGUAAAACUAAUUCUGUAAAGUUGCAGGAUAACUAAAUAAACACUAAAAAAUGAGUUUUGUUUCCAAACACUAAAAAUAAACAAUCUCAAAAGGAAAUCAGGAACACAAUUCCAUUUACAAUAACAUUAAAAAAACCCAAAAACCUAGGGGUAAGUUUAACCAAGGAGAUAAAAGACUUGUAUGCUGAAAACUGUAAGACAUUGCUGAAAGCAAUUAAAGAAGACAAAUAAGUGGAAAUACCCCAUGUUCAUGGAUCAGAAUAUUAAUAUUGUUAAGAUGGCAGUACUACCCAAAAUGAUCUACAGAUUCAAUGAAAUCCCUGUCAAAAUUAUCAUAGUCCCUUUUGCAGAAGUGGAGAAGCCAGUUCUCAAAUUCAUAAAGAGUUGUAAGGGGCCUGGAAGAACCAAAACAGUCCUGAAAAAGAAGUGCAAAUUUCGAGUUUCACCCUUCCUGAUUCUGAAACUUACUACAAAGCUACAGAAACCAACACAGUAUGGUAUAAGGUUAGACAUACAGACCAAUGAAAGACAAUAAGAAGCCCAGAAAUAACCCCUUGCCCACAUGGUCAAAUGAUUUUGACAAGGGUGCCAUGAUCACUCAAUGAGGAAAGGACAGGGCUUUCAACAAAUGGUGCUGGGAAGACUCCAUGUCCACCUGCAAAAGCAUGACAUUGACCCUUACCCCAACUCAAAAAUUAACUUAGAGUGGAUCAAAAGCCUAAACCUAAACCUAUAAAAAUCUUGGAAGGAAACACAGGAUGAAAUCUUCAUGACAUUGGAUUUGGCAAUGGUUUUUUGGAUAUGACAUCAAAAUGCAAGGGCAACAAAAGAAAACAAAAUAGAUGAACCUGACUUCUUCAAAAUUACAACCGUCUCAUGUGAGAACAUUUGCAAAUCACCAAUCUGAUAAGAGAUUAGUAUCCAGAAUAUAUAAAGAACUCCUAUAAUUCAACAACAAGAAAACCCAACCCAAAUCAAAAUAAGGAAAGGGCUCAAAUAGACAUUUAUCCAAAGAAGAUGUACAGAUGGCCAAUAAACUCAUGAGAAGAUCCCCAACAUCAUCAGUCAUUAGGGAAAUGCAGAUCAAAACCACAGUGAUCAGAGUUUCAAUGGAACCAAAUUUUUGCCACCAAAAACUAGCAUACUGAGAAAUUAAGAAUUUUUACUUCAAAAAAAAAAAAAAAACCCCACAAUGAGAUAUCACUUCAUCCACUUUAGGACAGCUAUCAUCAACACAUGUACACACACACACACACACAUACAGAAAAUAACAAGUGUUGGCGAGGAUGUGGAGAAACUGGGACACUUGUGCACUGUUGGUGGGAAUAUAAAAUGGUGCAGCAGCUGUGGAAAACGGCAUGGUUCUUAAAAAUGUUAAAAAUAGAAUUAUCAUAUGAUUCACCAAUCUCACUUCUGGGUAUACACACAAAAGAAAUGAAAGCAGGGACACGAACAGAUAUUUGCACACCCACAUUCAUAGCAACAUUAUUCACAACAUCCAAAACGUGGGAACAACCCAAGUGUCCUUCAACAAUGAAUGGAGAAAUUAAACAUGGAUUAUAAACACAAUGAAAUAAUAGUCUUAAAAAGGAAGGGAACUCUCACAUGUUACAACAUGGAUGAACCUCGAAGACAUGAUGCCAGGUGAAGUAAGCCAGUCACAAGAAGGCAAAUACUGUAGGAUUCCACUUACUUAUCCGAGUUCCCUACAGUGGUCAAGUUCAUAGAGACAGGAAGUAGCUGGUGGGUGCCUGGGCCUGGGGGAGUAGUGAUGGGGGUUAGUGUUUACUGGUGGGACAGUGAAAAACUUGGCGGAAGUGCAUGAUGGAGGCUGCAAACAGUGUGAACUUACUUCAUGCCACAUAACUGUACACUCAGAAAUGGUCAAAAUGGUACGUUUCAUCUUGUGUAUGUUACCACAAUUAAAAGAAAAGCCUGCGCUAGCGUUCAGUAUA